UACGUAGGGUGCGAGCGUUAAUCGGAAUACUGGGCGUAAAGCGUGCGCAGGCGGUUUUGUAAGCCAGAUGUGAAAGCCCCGGGCUUAACCUGGGAAUGGCAUUUGGGACUGCAAGGCUUGAGUGCGGCAGAGGAGACUGGAAUUCCUGGUGUAGCAGUGAAAUGCGUAGAUAUCAGGAGGAAUACCGAUGGCGAAGGCAGGUCUCGUGGGCUGACACUGACGCUCAUGCAC
rnacentral:rRNA from 1 species